CGGGAGAGAGAGAGAGAUGGGAGAUGGCGGGAGGGCAGUAAAUAGUCGUUGAGAGUUCGGAAUAUGAGACCCUUUCAUCUCUAGCUUUUCGAUAUUUCUUCGUCAUGAAAUAAUUAAAGCUUUAUAGUAGUUUGGACUUCAAUAGACUUGAUGCAUGCGGUGGUGACCAACGCCUCCUACUUUCUGCAACUUCACUUCCACACGGCUAGGUUUCUUUCUCCCGUAUAUUCGUGCCACGUGGCAGGAGAGUGUAAUGGGAGUCUGGGGGGAAGUUGGGGCGGGUGUUGACCUACCGCUAUCUACUUGAGUGAGGGGUUGAAUUGGAGAUUGGACUCUAGAAUGCAUUAAAUGUUGCCUUGAAUCGACUGCUAUCUACUUGAGCGUGGAUGGGUGUUUGCAGCAUUAGAGAUGGGUUGUGGAAGCAGUGGAAAGUGGGUGUGGUUUGUUGGAAAGCAAGGCGAAUGUGGAAGAAGAGAGUAAGAGAUAAACGGAUGAGCCACAAUAUACCAAACCAAAAUAUACGCGGGGAGCGGAGGGAGGUGCAUGCCGGCAGA
rnacentral:lncRNA from 1 species